GAUGAACGCUGGCGGCGUGCCUAAUACAUGCAAGUCGAGCGAACGGACGAGAAGCUUGCUUCUCUGAUGUUAGCGGCGGACGGGUGAGUAACACGUGGAUAACCUACCUAUAAGACUGGUAUAACUUCGGGAAACCGGAGCUAAUACCGGAUAAUAUUUUGAACCGCAUGGUUCAAAAGUGAAAGACGGUCUUGCUGUCACUUAUAGAUGGAUCCGCGCUGCAUUAGCUAGUUGGUAAGGUAACGGCUUACCAAGGCAACGAUGCAUAGCCGACCUGAGAGGGUGAUCGGCCACACUGGAACUGAGACACGGUCCAGACUCCUACGGGAGGCAGCAGUAGGGAAUCUUACGCAAUGGGCGAAAGCCUGACGGAGCAACGCCGCGUGAGUGAUGAAGGUCUUCGGAUCGUAAAACUCUGUUAUUAGGGAAGAACAUAUGUGUAAGUAACUGUGCACAUCUUGACGGUACCUAAUCAGAAAGCCACGGCUAACUACGUG
rnacentral:rRNA from 1 species